rnacentral:sRNA from 1 species
CACACAAAACAUCCAAUCAGGAUAGAGAUUAUCCUUAAUAAUUGUAUUCAAUUGGAUGCCUAUGAGCAAUAACUGAAGGUUCUUAGGGAAGAAAUAGUUCUGUCUUUAGACUGCAGCAGGGAAGUCUGCCUGGGUUUCCAUCCUGCUCAUUUGCUCUCGGGAUGGAAGACUUGCCAUCCCCACAACAAUGGGCUCCCUCCCUCCUACAUCUGAGUUUCUUGCUUUUGUUUAUUUCUCAUGAGGGUGAACUACCUCCCAGUAUGGCUAAUUAUGCUUAGUGUUUACUGGUGACCUUCCACAUUCUGAAACCCACCCCCUUUUACAUCAGGGGACUCUCUGAGUUGAGAGAGUUGCCCCAUCUCUGCUUCUACAGGAAGUACUUGUUGCAGUGACAAGAAACAAUUUAAGGGAGAGAUGAGUUGGUAUUGGCUCUUGGUGACAUAUGGAGCUGCUCAAGUCUGGACUGUAGUGGUAGCAUCCUGGCGGCUUGCUCACAGGAAGUGAACCUGGACUACACAUCUGAAGUCCUGAGCCUCAGUAACCACUUCCUCUCACAAGACCCUGUGACCACUUCCUCCAGCAAGACCCCACUUCCUAAAGAUGCUGCAGUCCUGAAACAGUGCCACUAGCUGGGGGCUGAGUGUCCCCAUGAAGCAGCAGGGGAACAUUUCACACUCAAAUCAAAACUAUUUAAGAAAAAAGUCAUCUCUUUCUCCACCUGCUCUGUCCUUUCCUCUUAUAGUUCCUGAUAUAUUUUGGUGAGAUGGUUCCAAGUUAAUUCACCUGAGUCUAGACUUGUGGGCUGAGCUGAUGUGGACUUUCAAACAGCUGGAGGAAAACUCAAAGAAAGCGAAAAUCAAGAAAACGAACUAGAGGUCAGAUGUCCCUGGAGGAGAUCAAGGUUGACAUCAGCAGCAACUAACUAGCCUUUCAACAAAUAUGUGAUCCUAGACAUCCAAAGGAUGAACAGAACUGCUGAUAAUAAGAGGAGUACAAACAUCAUUGGUCUCAAAAACAUGGCUGACACCUGAUCAGAGAGACAAGAUUGGAGUCAACAAAUCCUCAUCUCUCCAUUUUAUAACCUGCCAUCUGAAGGCGAGAUUUAAGACAAAUUUUUAGGUUGUUAAUCCAUUGUCUUCUCAGACUGCCAGUUUUCUGAGUAAAGUACUAU